rnacentral:tRNA from 1 species
GUGAUAGCUCAGUCGGUAGAGCAUGAGACUCUUAAUCUCAGGGUUGUGGGUUUGAGUCCCACGUUGGGCA